AAUUCAUUCGUCCUCCAUCUGUUUGACCAUAAGGUGGAAGACAGACCUCUUCAUAUACUCUCUAGUCAUUUCCUUCUACAUAGACUGUGAACUGCAGAGAAAUUUGGUUUAGCCCAAAGAGACUUGUCAGCAGUGUUAACUACAACAGAAGUCAGCCAGAAAUAUAUGGGAAACAAGUAGGAUGGUCCACCAAAAAAGUCAACAUGAGCACAGUCAGGGGUCACUCAAAGAAACAUGUAGCCCACAAAGCUCAAUAUCCAGAGGCUGAUGGUCCCAACCCUGAGAGGUAAAGAGAACUACUCAAUGGAGAACAAAAGACUUACCAGAAUCCCAGUAUUCCUCUGCCUGGAGCCUUCUUUCUCUGUACAACAGACUUCCCCUCAAGCCUGGUAUCAAGGUUUUGGCACAAAAGCUUCUGGCCAAGGCUUCUGUAAAGCUUCAUCCAUUUCCUAUGACCCACAGCCGAGGGGUCACCAGUAACAUGGAAAUAUUAACUAUCAAAAAUAAAUGAAUAAAUGAAUGAAUGAUUGAAUAAAAA
rnacentral:lncRNA from 1 species